UGAUUUAUGGCUUUUGUGUAGGCCCUGGGACUGCUGGUCCUGUACGUGGUAAACCAGGGAGACAUUUCUUUUGAGAGUCUGAAGGAUCUAAGAACUGGAGAGUUGAUUCAACUUUCUCCAGAUGAGGAAACUUGGGACCUCAUUCAUCACCUGUUCUUCCCUGGGGACAAUGUGAAGGACCAUCUGAGUGGCCUGCUGGGUCAUCCCUUCUUUUGGAGUUGGGCGAGCCGCUACAGGACCCUUAGGGAUGUGGGAAAUGAAUCAGACAUCAAAACGAGAAAUGCUAAUGGCAAGAUCCUCCAGCUUCUGCAACCUGGAACAUCUGAAUUUUCCACAAGUUUUGCCCAGUGGACAACUAAGAUUGACAAAUUUGUGAUGGAAAACAUGAAUGACUAUUAUAAAAAAGGCAACGUUUAUCGGGACACCGUGGGUGACCUGCUGAAGUUCAUCCGGAAUUUGGGAGAGCACAUCAAUGAACCAAAGAAUCGAGAGUAAGUCAUGUAUGAGGAGUCAUGUAUGAGAUGAGAAUAAUUGAAAAAUUCCAGUUCUAAAUUUAUAUCUGCUAAUUUGAUAGAAAGAAGAAAAGUUAUUUUGAUGAAAGUCAUUCCUCCUUCUGUGUG